rnacentral:rRNA from 1 species
GAUCAAUAUUUCGGUCAUGCCGUUGGUAUGCACUGUUAUUAUUGAUUUCUCACCUUCUAAAGAACCGUAAUGCCAUUAAUUUGGUGUUACGGGGAAUUAGGACUGUUACCUUGAAAAAUUAGAGUGUUUAAAGCAGGCUCACGCUUGAAUACAUUAGCAUGGAAUAAUGAAAUAGGACAUCCGAUUCUAUUUUGUUGGUUUCUAGGAUCGAUGUAAUGAUUAAUAGGGAUAGUUGGG